rnacentral:ribozyme from 1 species
ACUGCACAUUUGAGGCCAUAGCAGAAGUGCUUGCAGUGUGGCCGUGUCAGAUUCCAGUGAAUCUGCAAAUUCUGCU